GUCCACGCUGUAAACGAUGGAUACUAGGUGCUGCGGGUAUUGACCCCUGCGGUGCCGGCGCUAACGCAAUAAGUAUCCCGCCUGGGAAGUACGGCCGCAAGGCUAAAACUCAAAGGAAUUGACGGGGGCCCGCACAAGCGGUGGAGUAUGUGGUUUAAUUCGACGCAACGCGCAGAACCUUACCCAGGCUUGACAUUGAUGGAACCUACCCGAAAAGGUGGGGUGCCCUUCGGGGCCCAGAAAACAGGUGCUGCAUGGCUGUCGU
rnacentral:rRNA from 1 species